ACACCGUAUUCUGUGAGUUGCGAACGGGUGAGUAACGCGUAGGUAACCUGCCUGGUAGCGGGGGAUAACUAUUGGAAACGAUAGCUAAUACCGCAUAAGAACAUUUACUGCAUGGUAGAUGUUUAAAAGGUUGCAAAAGCAUCACUACCAGAUGGACCUGCGUUGUAUUAGCUAGUUGGUGAGGUAACGGCUCACCAAGGCAACGAUACAUAGCCGACCUGAGAGGGUGAUCGGCCACACUGGGACUGAGACACGGCCCAGACUCCUACGGGAGGCAGCAGUAGGGAAUCUUCGGCAAUGGGGGGAACCCUGACCGAGCAACGCCGCGUGAGUGAAGAAGGUUUUCGGAUCGUAAAGCUCUGUUGUUAAGGAAGAACGUGUGUGAGAGUGGAAAGUUCACACAGUGAUGGUACUUAACCAGAAAGGGACGGCUAACUACGUGCCAGCAGCCGCGGUAAUACGUAGGUCCCGAGCGUUGUCCGGAUUUAUUGGGCGUAAAGCGAGCGCAGGCGGUUAGAUAAGUCUGAAGUGAAAGGCAGUGGCUCAACCAUUGUAGGCUUUGGAAACUGUUUAACUUGAGUGCAGAAGGGGAGAGUGGAAUUCCAUGUGUAGCGGUGAAAUGCGUAGAUAUAUGGAGGAACACCGGUGGCGAAAGCGGCUCUCUGGUCUGUAACUGACGCUGAGGCUCGAAAGCGUGGGGAGCGAACAGGAUUAGAUACCCUGGUAGUCCACGCCGUAAACGAUGAGUGCUAGGUGUUAGGU
rnacentral:rRNA from 1 species